UGCAGUCGAACGGCAGCACAGUAAGAGCUUGCUCUUAUGGGUGGCGAGUGGCGGACGGGUGAGGAAUACAUCGGAAUCUACCUUUUCGUGGGGGAUAACGUAGGGAAACUUACGCUAAUACCGCAUACGACCUUCGGGUGAAAGCAGGGGACCUUCGGGCCUUGCGCGGAUAGAUGAGCCGAUGUCGGAUUAGCUAGUUGGCGGGGUAAAGGCCCACCAAGGCGACGAUCCGUAGCUGGUCUGAGAGGAUGAUCAGCCACACUGGAACUGAGACACGGUCCAGACUCCUACGGGAGGCAGCAGUGGGGAAUAUUGGACAAUGGGCGCAAGCCUGAUCCAGCCAUACCGCGUGGGUGAAGAAGGCCUUCGGGUUGUAAAGCCCUUUUGUUGGGAAAGAAAAGCAGUCGGCUAAUACCCGGUUGUUCUGACGGUACCCAAAGAAUAAGCACCGGCUAACUUCGUGCC
rnacentral:rRNA from 1 species